rnacentral:rRNA from 1 species
UACGGGGGGGGCAAGCGUUGUUCGGAAUUACUGGGCGUAAAGGGCUCGUAGGCGGCCAACUAAGUCAGACGUGAAAUCCCUCGGCUUAACCGGGGAACUGCGUCUGAUACUGGAUGGCUUGAGGUUGGGAGAGGGAUGCGGAAUUCCAGGUGUAGCGGUGAAAUGCGUAGAUAUCUGGAGGAACACCGGUGGCGAAGGCGGCACUCUGGGCCAGUACUGACACUGAGGAGCGAAAGCGUGGGUAGCGAACAGG